rnacentral:rRNA from 1 species
GACUAACGCUGGCGGCGUGCUUAACACAUGCAAGUGGAGCGACGAACCGGGGCUUGCCUCGGGGCAGAGCCGCGAACGGGUUAGUAACACGUGGGUAACCCACCCCGAUGACCGGGACAACCCGAGGAAACUCGGGCUAAUACCGGAUGUGCUCCUUGACCUCGAGGUCAAGGCGUAAAGAUAGCUUUCGGCCUUCGCAUCGGGACGGGCCCGCGGCCCAUUAGCUUGUUGGUGGGGUAAAGGCCUACCAAGGCGACGAUGGGUAGCUGGUCUGAGAGGACGAUCAGCCACACUGGGACUGAGACACGGCCCAGACUCCUACGGGAGGCAGCAGUGGGGAAUCUUGCGCAAUGCGCGAAAGCGUGACGCAGCAACGCCGCGU